AAUAUACCUCGUUAGGUGAGGCUCCUGUACGGAGAUACGCUGCUGCCCAAAAAUGUCCAAAGACGCCAAUGGGUGAACAGAGAUUAUCGAGAUAAGGUACUCUUUAAUGUAGCUGGCAUUCAUGCCUAUGCCGUACAGUGCUAAAGCUCUACGACGGAGACGAUAU
rnacentral:sRNA from 2 species